GCUUGAAGUUAGUCGCAUUGGCUAGAGAUCAACUUGGCUUUUGCUUGGUGUAUUCUCUAGUUAAUGGGUCAACAUCAGUUUUGACUAUUGGAUAAGAGUUAAAGGGAUGUGGCUCCUUUAGGAGUGUUAUAACCUUUAGCUGUAUACAGUGGUUGGGACUGAGG
rnacentral:rRNA from 1 species